CUGAAAUUACUGUAUGACAUCAUAGUUAAAUCACAGUAUGAUUUCAGUGAAAUGAUAGUAUGACUUUAUUGUGGAAUGACAGUAUGACCUCAAAGUGAAUAGAUACAGCUUUCUAUGAAAAAAACAACAACUCGUGGUGCGAUCACAAUCAAUCAGUCGUUGAACAGACACACAGAAACACGAUUAUACCUGCAGGAAAUUCAAACACGAAAUGAAGUUAACUUUGUCGUUAGCUUUCAAUGUCAUAAUAUAUGCAUUAUGUCACAGAAUAUGUUAAUCUGUUUUGUCUCUUUCUCCUCCCCUAAACUGAAACUCAAAUGUACAGAUUGUUAUGGCUUGUGUGUGUGUGUGUGUGUGUGUGUGUGUUUCUAUGGUGACAGUGAAAGAUGUUAGCGAUUGGUUGUGAAUUAUGCAAGAUAGAUUGUCAGCGGUCGCAGUUAAGACAGACGACUCCAGAACGCGAGACUGAAAGGUUGUGUUAAUGUAGUGAGUUUGAUUUUGCUAAAAAUUAUUAUUACUUAAUUAAGUCUAAUACAUUUAUUUUAUCUCAUAUCCACUUGAUUUUGUCCAUAUUAUAAUAGAAUAUAUAUUCAGUUUUGUUCACAAAGAAGUUGCUGAAGUUACUUUAAGUUGUCUACCAGCAGUUUGGUGCUACAAGUCAACGACGGUCCACGACACUGAUAAAGUUCUGACAGAGCAUUGAAGUUCAAGCAAAAUGGAAAAGUUCAUGCUCAAACGGCAUUGGAGAAAAUGGGGCACUUGUAUGGAUUUUAUUUACCAAUAUAUUAAAGUAAAAAAUAAACA